rnacentral:lncRNA from 1 species
GGCGAGACUGCCCGGCUCACAGGAUGGUCACUACUGCCCUGGAAAGGCCCUGGGCCCAGGGGCUUCGCUACAGCGCUGCCGGCUUUGCCCUCAGCCCCCGCUCCCCCUCCAGCUCCAAACAAGUUCGUGGCUCAGCCCUUAAUCUCUGGGAUGAAAUGUCCUGCUGACACGGCCGGUGCUGUCCCGGGGAGAGCUCCCGCUUAUCCCAGCCCUGCAGCUCUUCCCUUUGUUCCCAGCUGGCUUCCAGUCCCCGCGGCGGUGCCAGAGCCACGAUGUGUGUGCAGUGACAGGGAAGUGCAUUCGGGGAUGGCGGGAGAGCGUCACGGUCUGCCCUCCGUGCCCGCACGGUGCGGUGCCAGGGCCGCUGUGCUGCGCCCAUGGAGUCGGGGAGGAAUCCCAAUGGGGGAACAUGCUCCCAGUCUUAUCCCUGGAGGCUGGCAAGCCCCGCAUGAACUAAGGUGCAAAUCAGAAGCUGUGUCUCUGCAGCGCAGAUCUUGCCGUUUCCAACAUGAGGCAGUGCGUGUCACCGGCUGGGGCAUCACCCGGGGUUUCGCCCCGGUCCCUCCCGCUUCACCCCUCUUUGAGGCCUCGAGCAGGCAGGCAGCAGCAAGGCUGUGGCACGUUUUGUCCUGCUCUGUGUUCUCUGGAAAAGGACCUUGUUUUCUCCCCGGUACCCGUCUGAUUCCUGACAAUGCCCCAAGUGUCUGCGAGGACACGCACGUUACUCUGGGUCACGUCCGCCUGCAAGCAGAGCCUGGGCUGCGCUCCCCUUGCCGGCGGACAGCCGAGGACAGCCCGGGCAGAGCCCCACGGCCGAUGGAACAGCGCGAAACCAGCCCUUCCUCCUCUACGUGCGUGCGCUCAUCCAGCGCCACGGGAACAUUUGGGUCGGGCCCAGGCGAGAGCAGUUAGAGGAGAAAAAAACCACAGCGGCCUGCACAGAGGCAUUCAGCACUGAUCCGUGUCCUCACGGGCCGCACCGGCUGCGCGAGGGUGCUCCCAGCCCCGAG